UUAACAAACUCUGAGUUUAAACUGAACUCUGAGUUGAUUUACGCUGAGUUUGCAAAUCUGGAGUUUUUGGUUUCAGAACAGCUGAAAAGAGUUGGUUUAAGCAACUCUGAGUUGUCUGACUCAGAGUUAAGCGCGUGCACCGCAACGAUACAAAGCCCUGAUCAAUGGAGUGAAGAUAUUACGAGUCACCAUGGCAACAGCACAACAAAAGAGGUCCGGAAAUGGAUAUGAUACGUCAAGCAAAUAGCGACUACGAGUCUUUAUUCCGUAGAAAAAGCAACACGGCUGCAGCGGCGAAAGAGAAAGAAUUAGCUUGGAAGAAAAUAGCCCCUCGAGUCAAUGCGUAAGUUUACAUUUUAAUCAUACAGUGUUCAGUGUAACUAAAUACUAAAUAAAUUUAGUAUUGUUGUUAUAUUUCACUCGUAAGGAUUUUUAAAGUAAUUGUUCACUCAUCUAAGAAGUUUCUUCAGUAAUUGCAUAAAUACCGAUGUUUGUAUGAAUUAAAAGUGCAGUGUUAUGUCUAUGCAUUUUUAAAAUUCCUGUUGUGGUUGGAGAGCAAUUAUUACAUUAUUCUAAUUAGGUUUUUAAAAGUCAUCCAAAACACAUGUAAUAAUAUAAGAAUUUAAUUUCAAUUUUUAUGUAGGUGCAUAGGCAUAAAAAAACGUGGCUAAAAAUGAAAUGUAAAAACAUAAUUUAAACAGGUAUAAGGCACAAUCAUGUGUGUAGACUACCUGACUUUACAACAUUUGACAUAUUAAAUAACUAAAUAGCAUGCAGAGUAUAGCAGUGCAGCAGCAUUUUCAACAUGGCUGUAAUGUUUUCACAAAGUUAAAUCAUUUGACUUCUACUCAGCCAACAGAAAGAAGGCAGAGGUUAGAACAACUGGUGGGGGACCUGCACCUCCACCACUGACUCAUGCAGAGGAGAUGGCCCUCAGCUUGAACACUGGAAAGCAGAGGCUGAAGGAAUUCAUCAGAACCAGUCACUCCCCAGGAUACAAGUGCAUUUGUAAAAUAUUCUGAUGGUAAUAUGUGAAUCUUACUGUCACAACAGAAGCCCAGGAUGUUAAUGUGGAAGAACAGCAGGAGGAGGGUCCGUCACAUUCUGCUGCACAGAUGCACACAGUUCAGUGAUGUUCAGUAAAUGCCAGAGUUCAAUUCUGUAAGAGUAAUGAGGAAUGAUUUGCAUUCAUUCAGUUUCUUUUAU